GUUUUCUGGUCAGCUGAAAUCUGGUGACUGGGCAGGCCACUGAACUUACUGUCAUGUUGGUGGAACCAGUUUGAGAUGUUUUCCUGUCUGAAAAGCUCCGGUGCCUGAUGCAGACAUACGCCCCCUUAACAUCAGCAAGCCUCCACCAUGUUUGACUGUGGGAAUGGUGGUGUUCUCCUCACAGGCGGCACAGGGUUUUUUUCUCACCACACGGACCCUUUGACAAUUAUGACCAAAUAGUUCAACUUUGGUCUCAUCAUUUAGUUCCAAAACUCAUUUGGUUUGCUCACAUGCUCUUUAGCAUCAUCUGAGCAUGGUGCCUUGUGUAUAGAAGUAGGCAAUGGCUUCCUGCCUGCUUUUCUCUCAGACAUUCCUUGGGUGCUUGAGCAGAUCUAGUGUAAGUUUAAUUAUAGCAAAGUUACCUGGGUUGAGAUAGAGCAGCAUAAAAGCUACCAGUGACACAGAAAGUCAGUCAAAGGUACAGUUCUGUUCAUGGUGUUUGUUUCUUACCAAAACUCUGAUUCCGAUGGUUCCUAAGUGACAACUCCCCAAAGUCAUCCUCUGCAAACACAGAAGAAGAGAAAUGUGACAAAACAUUGUGAGACAGACUUACAAUCUUACAGACAGACUCUCAACAACUAUCAUAAAAGCUCAUAACACUCAGUUCCUUUUGUUUAUUUGUUGUUAAGGUGAAGGUAUUUUGCCAGAAUAGAUUGCACAAUGUGUCAAGAGAGAUGCUGCUGAAAGCAGUCGCAAUCAAUUUCAGUUAUACUGGGUGAAUUGAUGGAUUUUUGUCUUGCUCAGUGGGACCAAUAGGAGCGCAGCAGCAAAGGCCUGUAUUGCUGAAGUUAGACCAAAGCAGACACAGACACUAAUUGGAUUUACUGUAGUGUGUGUGUUUGUGUGUGAGAGAGAGAGACGAGAGACAGCAAUGCAAAUACUAGAGUGACACCAUUUGGAAAACACGGACCACUUCCCUUCGUUUCUCAUUUGUAAUUCUAUCAUAAACUGUGUUGCACUCAUUACACCGCUUGUGAUAUAAUAUGUCCUGUUAACUUCUGUGUGAAUGUCAUCAGCAUUGGUGGAAAUAAACAAGGUAUCAUUUACUUAAA